rnacentral:lncRNA from 1 species
UAACACAGUGAAACCCCGUCUCUACUAAAAAUACAAAACAUUAGCCAGGCCUGGUGGCGGGCGCCUGUAGUUCCAGCUUCUGGGAAGGCUGAGGCAGGAGAAUCGCUUGAACCCUCCUGGGGUUGAGAGAUUGCAGUGAGCCGAGAUCGUGCCACUGCACUCCAGCCUUUACAGUAAGGAAAACAGAAGCCCAGAGAGAUCUGAUCUGGUUCCCAUGUGGGGUCCGAAGCCACUCUGCGGCCAUUGCCUUUGUCAUCCUGCAGGGUGGAGACAGCUUUGCCUCCCUUUUGCGUUUGGGAUUUUUCAGAAUAACUGUAGCCAGUGCUUCCUGUUUAUGAGUACUGUUCAUCCAAAUAAUCCUUCGGGGGUCCUUCUGGGGGGUGUGUGGGAGGAGCAACACAAACACCCAGCAAUUGGAGAAAACAGAAGAAAAGCGAUAAUAGCAGCUCCUACUGGAGGAGCUGGUGUCGCUGGUGAACCAGCGCGAUGAGCUAGUCCGGGACCUGGACCACAAGGAGCGGAUCGCCCUGGAGGAGGACGAGCGCCUGGAGCGCGGCCUGGAACAGCGGCGCCGCAAGCUGAGCCGGCAGUUGAGCCGGCGGGAGCGCUGCGUGCUGAGCUGAGGCCGCCGGCCCGGGUGGCCCAUAACUUCUCGCGUCCCCGGCGUCCGCCGCCGCCCCGGGCCUGCGCUGCGGACGACCCGGCCGUCCCGGAGGCCGCGCGCGUGUCCGCUAGGGGCCGCCGGCGCCCUUCCCCGUACAGGGCAGGGCGGAUCCCCGACCCCACGGGCGGGGCGGCC